GACGAACGCUGGCGGCGUGCCUAAUACAUGCAAGUCGAACGCAGUGGGGACGGGUGAGUAACACGUGGGUAACCUCCCAUCAGAGGGGAUAACACUUGGAAACAGGUACUAAACCGAGACUGAUGGAUGGACCCGCGGUGCAUUAGCUAGUUGGGGAGGUAACGGCUAAACAAGGCAACGAUGCAUAGCCGACCGGAGAGGGUGAUCGGCCAUCCUGGGACUGAGACACGGCCCAGACUCCUACGUGAGGCAGCAGUAGGGAAUCUUCGGCAAGUGACGAAAGUCUGACCGAGCAACGCCGCGUGAGUGAAGAAGGUUGUCGGAUCGUAAAACUCUGUUGUUAGAGAAGCGGUAUCUAACCAGAAAGCCACGGCUAACUACGUGCCAGCAGCCGCGGUAAUUC
rnacentral:rRNA from 1 species